UGCUAUAAGUUAAACAGUAAAAUAGAGAUAAAGAUCCAAUUGAACAAAUAAAUGAAUUUACGGAGAAGUUAAAAGAAAGUAUUAACAACUACCAACUGCCACCCUUUAAGUAAAUCUACAACCUAAAUAACCAAAAAACAAAUAGAGUAAUGACUAAGCUAAGAGAGUCGAUCAUGCUUCAGACCCUUGAUGAUGAGUGCUUCGAAGACUUGGUAUUCUGAAGAGCGUGAGCCCUUUGUCAAAGCAUUCAUCUGAAAUACUUGAAACGGCUUUGCAACAUUGUGUGGAUAAUGAAACUUUACCUUUGAUAAAAGAAGUGAUCAAACCCGGUACACAACCAUUAACCUUGAUAGGAACCAUAGCGCAAGAAGUCGGUGGAGCAGCAUGUGGUGGCUGAGUCGUGUGCGGUGACCAAAAUCACAUCAUCUGCAUGUUUCACCGAAAAAUAAUGGAGGAGAAUAUAAAAU
rnacentral:lncRNA from 1 species